GAUGAACGCUGGCGGCGUGCCUAAUACAUGCAAGUAGAACGCUGAAGGAGGAGCUUGCUCUUCUGGAUGAGUUGCGAACGGGUGAGUAACGCGUAGGUAACCUGCCUGGUAGCGGGGGAUAACUAUUGGAAACGAUAGCUAAUACCGCAUGACAACAGUUAUUGCAUAAUAACUGUUUAAAAGGGGCAACUGCUCCACUACCAGAUGGACCUGCGUUGUAUUAGCUAGUUGGUGAGGUAACGGCUCACCAAGGCGACGAUACAUAGCCGACCUGAGAGGGUGAGCGGCCACACUGGGACUGAGACACGGCCCAGACUCCUACGGGAGGCAGCAGUAGGGAAUCUUCGGCAAUGGACGGAAGUCUGACCGAGCAACGCCGCGUGAGUGAAGAAGGUUUUCGGAUCGUAAAGCUCUGUUGUAAGAGAAGAACGAGUGUGAGAGUGGAAAGUUCACACUGUGACGGUAUCUUACCAGAAAGGGACGGCUAACUACGUG
rnacentral:rRNA from 1 species